GUAAAAGGCCCAUCAGGGUGAAAGGUCUUAACUUGAGAAGAAAGAAACUGGGAACACGACACAGAGAAAAUUAUAUUUAAAUAAGGCCGAGCAAUUUAGAAGAAGAAGAAGAAACAGAAAGGAAGAACAUGAACCAAGUGUGAGAAGUAGGAAAAGCAAGUGCAGAGAAGAGAAGAAAGAUGAGCAGCAUUGGAACUGGGGUUUUUCAGAUCGAGUACGCCUCCAAGGCCGUCGAUAACAAACUGUAAUUGGAAUAAAAUGCAAAGAUGGGAUCGUUAUGGGAGUGGAGAAGCUGAUCGCAUAAAAAAUGAUGUUACCUGGCUCUAAUCGUAGAAUCCAUUCCGUUCAUCGUCAUUCCGGCAUGGUAUUCCCUAGUUUCCUCCCACUUUUUUUCAGCUUUUAACUUCAAUUUAUUGUAUCUUUAGCCACAUUGUUAUUUGUCAAUGCUAGCUUUGGAUUCUUAGUCUCUCGCUCUCUUUCCCCUGAUAUUGGAUGCUCGAAUUUAGGCAGUAGCUGGAUUAGCUGACGGCAAACAAAUUGUGGCCCGUGCUAAAUCUGAAGCUACUAGUUAUCAAAGUGUGUAUGGUGAACCCAUUCCUGUCAAAGAACUUGCUGAACGCGUUGCAAGUAAUGUCCAUUUAUGCACUCUUUACUGGUGGCUCAGGCCUUUCGGCUGUGGGGUAAUUCUAGGAGGUUAUGAUAGAGAUGGACCCCAAUUGUACAUGGUUGAACCGUCUGGCAUCUCCUAUACCUCAGCCAGAACGCAUUGGUGUAUAGAGUAGAGUAUAAUGAUGAAGCAUACUGAACCUUUAAACUAGACUACACAGGAAAAAGCAGACUUCCAACAUCGAUGCUGCAAAAUACAAGCACAUUCAAAUAUCAUUUUUUACUGCUCUUUGGUCUAUUUGACUUGCUCAGAAUUGCUCUCUAUAUCUUCCUUUAUAUGACUCCAGAUUAUAUUUCCUCAAAUUUUCAAUCCGACUGAACCUAGUUUUGCUGCUAUUGACAGCUUUAGGAAGAGCACAAAGUAAAAGUAUAAUGUAUGCCAUUGUACUAAAAGUGUAACAUUUUGCAUGUGCUUAUAUUGUUAUAAAGUAAUCAAUUUUUAACAGUAGAAA